UCGGUAAUUCCAGCUCCAAAAGCGUAUAUUAAAGUUGUUGCAGUUAAAAAGCUCGUAGUUGAUUUUCGACGCAUCUGAGGGGUCCACUUCGGUGCGUACUCUGAGGGUGCGUUUUCUCUGGGGCGCCUUUUGGCAAGCCAGACUGUUACUUUGAAAAAAUUAGAGUGUUCAAAGCGGGCGAUAGCUUGAAUAUAUUAGCAUGGAAUAAUAGAGUAGGACGGAUGGAUCUAUUUUGUUGGUUUCUAGAACCAUCGUAAUGAUUAAUAGGGACGGUCGGGGGCAUCAGUAUUCAGUUGUCAGAGGUGAAAUUCUUGGAUUUACUGAAGACUAACUACUGCGAAAGCAUUUGCCAAGGACGUUUUCAUUAAUCAAGAACGAAAGUUAGGGGAUCGAAGACGAUCAGAUACCGUCGUAGUCUUAACCGUAAACUAUGCCGACUAGGGAUCGGAGGGCGUUAUAAUAACCUCUCCGGCACCUUACGAGAAAUCAAAGUUUUUGGGUUCUGGGGGGAGUAUGGUUGCAAGGCUGAAACUUAAAGGAAUUGACGGAAGGGCACCACCAGGAGUGGAGCCUGCGGCUUAAUUUGACUCAACACGGGGAAACUCACCAGGUCCAGACACAAUAAGGAUUGACAGAUUGAGAGCUCUUUCAUGAUUUUGUGGGUGGUGGUGCAUGGCCGUUCUUAGUUGGUGGAGUGAUUUGUCUGCUUAAUUGCGAUAACGAACGAGACCUUAACCUGCUAAAUAGCUGUAACAAUAGAUUAUUGUUUUGACAGCUUCUUAGAGGGACUAUCGAUUUUCAAGUCGAUGGAAGUUUGAGGCAAUAACAGGUCUGUGAUGCCCUUAGACGUUCUGGGCCGCACGCGCGCUACACUGACGGAGCCAGCGAGUCUAACCUGUGCCGAGAGGUAUGGGUAAUCUUGUGAAACUCCGUCGUGCUGGGGAUAGAGCAUUGCAAUUAUUGCUCUUCAACGAGGAAUUCCUAGUAAGCGCAAGUCACUAGCUUGCGUUGAUUACGUCCCUGCCCUUUGUACACACCGCGC
rnacentral:rRNA from 1 species